UCUUUCUUCUUUACCCAUUACCACUUCACCACACCCAAUUUCUACUUUUUUUUCCAUCAAUACUCCACUCCACCCUUUGUUUCUCACUUUCCCCCUCCCAUUCCUACUAGAUAGUCUACCCAAAAAGUUAAUCCUUCAUCCUAUCUUAAGGAUUUUCAUUGUGAACUUUUGACCGAUAAGAACUCUAAUUCGAAUGUUUACACUUUGCAUGGUUCAGAUAAAUAUUGGAGGCAAGUUAUUCGAACUAAGUUGGAUGCUCUUGCUCAUAAUAAAACUGGGGAGUUAACUACAUUGCAUCUAACAAAAUCUGUUAUAGGUUGUAAAAGGAUUUUUAAACUAAAGUUUCGUGUUGAUGGUUCUAUUGAGCGUUAUAAAGCACAUCUCAUGGCUAAGGAUUUUAGUCAAACCGAAUGACUUGAUUAUCUAAAAACUCAGUAUAGUCUUAAAAAUGACUACUUUUCACUUGCUUUUAUCUAUUGUCGCUUCUAAAAAUGGAAUGGUAUUUCAAUUAGACAUUAACAUAGCGUUUUUAAAUGGAAAUCUAGUUGAGGAGGUAUAUAUGAAACUACAUCCCGAUAUUUAUGUUUCUAAUAGGAAUCUGGUUGUAAACUUAAAAAGACACUUUAUGGAUUGAAACAAGCUAGUCGUCGGUGGAAUUUUAAACUUUGCUCCACUAUGCUAGAUAUUGGUUUUACUCAAUCUAAGUCGAACAAUUUAUUAUUUACAAAACAAACUUCCAUUGGUUUUACCAUUAUACUAACUUAUGUGGAUGAUUUGCUAAUUGCAGAUGAUGACUUGGUUGAAGUAAAUAUUGUUAAGUUGAGUCAAUUCUUAUCUGCUCCAACUAAUUUACACCUCCAGAAUGCCCUCUGCGUUCUUCUCUAUAUUAAAUCAAGUCUUGGUCGUGGUAUAUUCUACAACAGUAGUUCAACCUUCAAUUUGAUGGGAUUUUUUUAUUCUGACUGGGGCGCUUCCUUAGACACACAAUGCUCUACUUUUGGCUUAUAUUUUUAUCUUGGCUUGUCAUUGGUC